rnacentral:piRNA from 1 species
UGAUGAAUUUGGAAACUGAAGCUGGGU